AUUGAACGCUGGCGGAAUGCUUUACACAUGCAAGUCGAACGGCAGCACGGACUUCGGUCUGGUGGCGAGUGGCGAACGGGUGAGUAAUGUAUCGGAACGUGCCCAGUCGUGGGGGAUAACGCAGUGAAAAUUACGCUAAUACCGCAUACGAUCUAUGGAUGAAAGCGGGGGAUCGCAAGACCUCGCGCGAUUGGAGCGGCCGAUAUCAGAUUAGGUAGUUGGUGGGGUAAAGGCCCACCAAGCCAACGAUCUGUAGCUGGUGUGAGAGGACGACCAGCCACACCGGAACUGAGACCAGGUCCAGAGUCCUACGGGAGGCAGCAGUGGGGAAUUUUGGACAAUGGGCGAAAGCCUGAUCCAGCCAUUCCGCGUGCAGGAUGAAGGCCCUCGGGUUGUAAACUGCUUUUGUACAGAACGAAAAGGUUUCUACUAAUACUAGGAGCUCAUGACGGUACUGUAAGAAUAAGCACCGGCUAACUACGUGCCAGCCGCCGCGGUAA
rnacentral:rRNA from 1 species